GUCAGUAAACAAGGGGGCGCUCAAACGUGCGUGUCUACAAACCGACAUCAGGAACCACAGAAGAAGAGUAAAGCGGUUUGGGAGGCAGGAUGGCGACGUUCAGCCGACGGGAUCUAAACGGAAUCUACUCUGCGGUGCUGCUGGCUGUGGUGGUCUUGUCAUGGUCCUACGUGAUCUACGCCAGCAGGAUCGCAGCUCAUUGGCUGCUGGAGGAGCAGACCGCCCUCCUGCAGCAGCACUGACAGCCCAUUGGAUGGCAGCAGCCUCUCGUCUGUCCAUACGUCCGUCCGUGUCCUCUUGUACUUCAGCUUUGAGAAUCUUGACCGUCAGAGCAGACUUCUUGAACCACAAUGUAGAGACCCUUCAUGAAUGGACUAACCGGGACCUCAUGGGGACAGCGAGGCUAAAUGAGACCUUCUGUUCUUUCUGGGCCACGGCACAACAAGACUACAAGGACCAGCAAGACCUGCUGGUCUGGUCCACGAGGACAACGAGACCACUGAGACCGGCUGGUCUGGUCCACGGGGACAACGAGACCACUGAGACCGGCUGGUCUGGUCCACGAGGACAACGAGACCACUGAGACCGGCUGGUCUGGUCCACGAGGACAACGAGACCACUGAGACCGGCUGGUCUGGUCCACGAGGACAACGAGACAAUGAGACCGGCUGGUCUGAGGGUUACAUGUUAUGAUUCCUUUUCAACUUGUACUGUUUCUUAUUUAUUGUUUGCUGACACUUGGUUCAGUGUCAGUUUCCUCCGCUGUGAUUGGUCCACAGGCGCCACACGGGGAUCCAAUCAGACCCACAGAAAGCAAAGACUGAAACAGGGUGAUGUAUUCGGUAACUAAGAGCUGUGAACACACUUCAAACACUCGUGGUUAUGGAGCGUGUGUCUGUCCUCUCAGAUGUGGUAAUACGGCUGCACAGGACGAGGGCGAGCGAGCCCCUCAGUGAAUAGGGAGAGAGAGAGAGCGGUGAGCACUCAUUCUGUUAACACUUCAAACACUCUCAUCUGUAAUUAAAAUCUCUCCUGUAAUCGAACCUCUGCUCCUCAUGUGGUGAUAAUGAAGUCCACGUCCCUCUGCUUCGUCUUUAUGCUACGCUACGCUAACCGGUGUCAACCAAAUAAAUAUGAGAAAAAUGAUCAUGAAUUAAUCAAAAGGGAUCGAGCGCUAAUGUCCUCUGAAUAAAAGUCUUCUAGUGUCAAAACUCUGAAUUCUGAAAA